AACGCGGGCGGUAUGCUUAACACAUGCAAGUCGAACGGAAUGCUUAGGCAUUUACUGGCGGACGGGUGAGUAACGCGUGAGAAUUUGGCUUCAGGUCGGGGACAACAGUUGGAAACGACUGCUAAUACCGGAUAUGCCGGAAGGUGAAAGGCUUGCUGCCUGAAGAUAAGCUCGCGUCUGAUUAGCUAGUUGGUAGUGUAAGGGACUACCAAGGCGACGAUCUGUAGCUGGUCUGAGAGGAUGAUCAGCCACACUGGGACUGAGACACGGCCCAGACUCCUACGGGAGGCAGCAGUGGGGAAUUUUCCGCAAUGGGCGAAAGCCUGACGGAGCAAUACCGCGUGAGGGAGGAAGGCUCUUGGGUCGUAAACCUCUUUUCUCAAGGAAGAAAAAAAUGACGGUACUUGAGGAAUAAGCAUCGGCUAACUCCGUGCCAGCAGCCGCGGUAAUACGGAGGAUGCAAGCGUUAUCCGGAAUGAUUGGGCGUAAAGGGUCCGCAGGUGGUACUGUAAGUCUGCUGUUAAAGAGUCUGGCUCAACCAGAUAAAAGCAGUGGAAGCUACAGAACUAGAGUGCGUUCGGGGCAGAAGGAAUUCCUGGUGUAGCGGUGAAAUGCGUAGAUAUCAGGAAGAACACCGGUGGCGAAAGCGUUCUGCUAGGCCGCAACUGACACUGAGGGACGAAAGCUAGGGGAGCGAAUGGGAUUAGAUACCCCAGUAGUCCUAGCCGUAAACGAUGGAUACUAGGCGUGGCUUGUAUCGACCCGAGCCGUGCCGGAGCUAACGCGUUAAGUAUCCCGCCUGGGGAGUACGCACGCAGGUGUGAAACUCA
rnacentral:rRNA from 1 species